UGCAAAAAUCAAAGUAUUGGAGGUCAUACCUGCCCAGUGAAAAGUUUUAAACGGCCGCGGUAUUUUUAACCGUGCGAAGGUAGCGCAAUCACUUGUCUUUUAAAUAAAGACCUGUAUGAAUGGUAAGACGAGGGCUUAACUGUCUCCCUUUUCAAGUCAAUGAAAUUGAUCUGUCCGUGCAGAAGCGGACAUAAAAAUACAAGACGAGAAGACCCUUUGGAACUUAAGACAUUAGACCACCUAUAUCAAUUGACCUCCAACAUCAGUUUAAAUCUAAUAGUAAUUGGUCCCAGUCUUUGGUUGGGGCGACCGCGGAAGAAAACAGAGCUACCGCGCAGAUGGGGUAACCCCCUAAAAUCAAGAGAGACAUCUCUAAAUAACAGAACUUCUGACCUCGAAGAUCCGGCAUUCGCCGAACAACGAACCAAGCUACCCAAGGGAUAACAGCGCAAUCCCCUUUCAGAGCCCAUAUCGACAAGGGGGUUUACGACCUCGAUGUUGGAUCAGGACAUCCUAAUGGUGCAACCGUUAUUAAGGGUUCG
rnacentral:rRNA from 1 species